ACUGCUCUGAUAAUCACACACCUCUCCGUGGUGAGCAGUAGGCAACGAUCUUAUGAUCGGCUGAGAUGUGAAG
rnacentral:ribozyme from 1 species